UUUUCUUCUACAAUUGAUUUUAAAGACUAUAUCAGAAUUACAUACUGCAUAUCACAAACAGACAAUGUGAGUACCUUCAUACAUGAUAAUAAGACACUAUGCAGCACUUUAUUCUCUGCUACGCACCUGAGUGAUCAUGUUUCUGCAAUUAGUAACACAAUAGCUAUUUUGUGAAGAGCUUCACUUUAUUAUAACAGAUGACCACACUUACCCAAGAAAGUCUUUAUUUACAUCUCUUGCAUCAUAUCUAACAUAUCCAAACUUGUAUAAUCCCAAACCUGCAGAGAGAUACAAAAGAAUGAACAAAAUUAUCAAUAAUAGAAUAAACAGUGUUUCAAAGGAAAAAAAGGCAUACUUGGAAGUGGGGAAAUAAGGAGAAUCUACAUCCUUGAGGCAAGAAGCACAUAAAACGCAG
rnacentral:lncRNA from 1 species